GUAACAUGGGGCCAGAAUGAGAGGGAAAAAGGAGGGGUCAACGUGUAAUCGGAAUUCGUGGGCGUAAAGCCGGCGCCAGCGGUGAGGGAAGACAGGUGUGAAAACCCUGUGCGUAACCUGGUAACUGCAAUUGAGACUGAAUCGCUGUAGUGUGGUAGAGGGAGUUAGAAUUCCGCGUUGAGCGGUGAAAUGCGUAGAUAUAGGAAGGAAUACCAGUGGCGAAGGCGACUACCUGGACUGAUACUGACUCUGAAGUGCGAAAGCGUGGGGAGCAAACAGGAUUAGGUACCCUUGUAGUC
rnacentral:rRNA from 1 species